AAGUUGGAGUCAGGCUUUCGUUAACGCUCCACUGCAGCUGGCCAGGCGCCCUCCGCUGGGGUUGGAGCCGGGGCUGCGCUGAGCUGGGCGCUGGAGGCUGUGCCAGGCAGUGGGCAGGGAGCUGUAAGUCACACGUCACUGCAGUCAGCGGGGGAGCCCAGCCUGUCCAGGAGGAGAGAAACAGGGCAGCGGGGUCCAGACGCCGCUUCCCCACCUCUCCUUUCUGCUCUUCUCCCCCAUCCGGGGACGAAGGUAAUACAAAGCGGAAGCUCCCCUCCGCGGCCUCCAACCUUAGCCACCGAGGCACAGAGCAGGUGGGUCAGGACGCGCUGUCCUUGUGCCUUUUCAAGAACCACGCAGAAAAGCGAGGCCAGUCGUGGACACGUGGAAGAGAUGCUUAAAGAAGAAGCAGUGAAGUGUACAGAAAAACGCAGGGAGAAGCGAGGCCAUGCUUUGUCUCCCCUGGACCGCUUUUACCUGCACAAGAGCCGACAUAUACAGUAGACAGAGUUGUGGGCACGUCACCUUCUCUGCAGAGACGCUGGGAGUUCCUCCCGGGGAGCUGUGGGUAGCAGAAGGCCACCAGGGCACCAGAAUCCAGGCCAGAGGUGCCCUGGGGUCAUAGAGAGAGUACAAGCCCAAAAGGGAGACCAAGUCCCUUUGCCUCCCCGAGCCUCAGUUCCUUCAUCUGUAAUGAGUAUCAAAAUGGUGACGGGGGAAGACUUUCUGCAGAAUUCCAUUCCUAUCAUGGGCCUUCUUCUUUAAACAAGCAAAUAGACAAAAAAAAAACCAACACCUCUUAAUAUUAGACAAAUGGGAUGA